rnacentral:rRNA from 1 species
AUUGAACGCUGGCGGCAGGCCUAACACAUGCAAGUCGAGCGGAGCGGCGAACGGGUGGGUACUGCCUAGUGAUCAACCUGGUAGUGGGGGAUCAAGUCCGGAAACGGGCGCUAAUACCACAUGCGAUCAGAGGGGCCUAGGUCGGAGUAGCUAGUUGGUGGGGUAAAGGACUACCAAGGCGACGAUGCGUAACUGGUCUGAGAGGAUGAUCAGUCACACUGGAACUGAGACACGGUCCAGACUCCUACGGGAGGCAGCAGUGGGGAAUAUUGGGCAAUGGGCGAAAGCCUGAUCCAGCAACGCCGCGUGUGUGAAGAAGGUUUUCGGAUUGUAAAGCUCUGUAAGUAGGGAGGCGUUACCAACAGAAUAAGCACCGGCUAACUUCGUGCCAGCAGCCGCGGUAAUUC